ACCAGAUCAAAAAAGCCAAUGAGAAGCCUAGAACUGUUAAAAAUUGAGAAAAAACUUCCCCUUUGUCUGUUGUUCUCCUAGGAAGAGGGGGACAGAGCAGUGAUGCUGUGAGCAGCUUUGGGCCAAAGCUGAUCCGUUUCCCAAAACUCACAGGCCAACUUCGCCAGCAGUAUCAGCCGAUGAAAUUCCACUGAAGUCCAAAGAAUUGCAUUCAUGUAGUGAAUUGGAUCGAAAGACGAGAGUUGGAACCAUACCAGUAAUGUUUGAUGUAGUUAAACAAAAUCUGGGGUAUUCCACGGAUACCAAUUAAAGCGCCUUUUUUAAACAGACCAUGAAGUUAAGACUUCCCAUCCCCAUUCCGCCUUGCCUUCCAAAGAGCUGCCGUCACCAAAGCUGGAUUAUAAUUACAGGGGGGCCUGAACCAAAAUCCUACAUAUGAACAUCCCCAAAUCUUGGGGAAAUGUGGAUCUAUAUUCAAACGUCCCCAUGGCCUCUACCUCUUCAUAGUUUUGGUGUGGACUAUUGUAGCCAGAACCCUAGCAAUCUUUGGGCUCUAGAUUGGAACUUUUUGGCUCAGGCUCAUAUCUAUCUAUAAUGCAAACUACAGGAAUGAUAAACUGCAGCAUGUUAAAAUUCUAAAUAGUUGUGCUGACUAAUAAAGUAUGAAUGAAGCCAAUAUAAAUAUUGUACCAGACAGACCAACUCACUCUUCUACAGAUACUAAUAUCAUCCUCUAUCAAAAGCUGCAGAAUGAUCUACCACUAAAACAACAGUAAACAAAUUAGAAUCAGCAGCCAUCAAUGAAACAU